CCUACGGGAGGCAGCAGUGGGGGAUAUUGCACAAUGGAGGGAACUCUGAUGCAGCGACGCCGCGUGAGGGAAGAAGGUUUUCGGAUUGUAAACCUCUGUCUUCGGUGACGAAACGAGACGGUAGCCGAGGAGGAAGCCACGGCUAACUACGUGCCAGCAGCCGCGGUAAUACGUAGGUGGCAAGCGUUGUCCGGAAUUACUGGGUGUAAAGGGAGCGUAGGCGGGAAAGAAAGUUGAAUGUUUAAGGUACGGGGUUCAACCGUAAAAGCGUUCAAAACUGUUUUUCUUGAGGGGAGGAGAGGUAAGCGGAAUUCCUAGGGUAGAGGUGAAAUGCGUUAAUAUUAGGAGGAACACCAGUGGCGAAGGCGGCUUACUGGGCUUUAACUGACGCUGAGGCUCGAAAGCGUGGGUAGCAAACAGGAUUAGAUACCCUUGUAGUC
rnacentral:rRNA from 1 species